rnacentral:lncRNA from 1 species
GCGGCGCUCUCGGGUGCAGCGGCUCUCCGGCGAGGUUCGUGUUUUGGUGAUUCGGCUCCGGUCAACCUGUAGAGAAAAGAAUGGUGAUCACGGUGAUAUAAAAAUUGCAUCGAACGGAGGCCGGGAAGGGCCUCGUCGGAGGCAAAAACCGAGAGGGGGCGCGGCGGCGCCGCUGGGCUUCGGCCGCGUAUUCCGGCCGUUUGGCCGGGAUUUCGGUUUCGAUUUGGCCAUAGAGGAAUCAGUGCGGAAAAACGAGUCGGGGGUAUGAAAUUUACCUCGAUCGGCGGUCGGAAAUUUCCCCGGUGCGGCGGCGAGUGGCGGCGGGUGGCGGCGGUCGGCCUCUGGUUCGUCUUCUCCGGCGAGCGGCUGGCGGCUAGGGUUUGUGGUCUGGUGUGGGGGUUCUAUUUAUAACCCCUUGCCUUUUGAUCACAGCCGUUCAUUUUGUUUUAAUCUGGGCCGUUCGUUUUUGAUUGAAUCUGGGCCGUCCGUGCGAUUGAAUCUGGGCCGUCCGAUCGCGUGAUUGAUCUGGGCCGUCGGAUCGCACCCACGCG